rnacentral:lncRNA from 1 species
AAAACAACAGCUUGGCUGAGCCGCGGAUGCCAUGAACAGUUCAGGGCCUCGGCGUCAUUUUAUCUCCUCCUUAUUCCUUUCCUUUCUAGCAUAAGAGCCCUGAAAGAGGCGUUUUGAGCCAAGAGAACCGCUUGUAGGCGAUCAUUUUAAGCGUAACCAAGCUCGCCUUUCACCCAGUCUCCCAAGGCGUUGAAAGAGACCAGCUCCAGUCUUGGGGCGCUGACCUACUUGCCUAGAGGGCCAAGGAUCUCCUACUCGGUGGAACGGCCCCCAGAAUUUCUUGGGGGAGGGGUGUGGGGAAAGAACUGAGCUACAGAAGCCUAAGGGCUAGAGGCCAGGGGAGGCUGCCUUUGUGUGCUGUUCCCGGGGAGCGGCGCUCUGGGCUGCCAGGCGAGGCAUAGCCAGCCCGGCUGCGAGCACCCGGCCUGCGGGGAGCCGGGAACAGUAAGCGGAGAAGGGCGGCCGCCGGGCCUGUGUGUCUGCGGGCCUGUGUGCGAGUGCAAGCUCGUGAUCCCAAGAAAAACACUCCACCCAGGAUGCCCCAGAAAAGAGGCCAGGAGAGAAGAAGAGAGGCUGAGGGAGAGCAGGGCCGAGGCAGCGAACUAGCAGAGAGAGUGGCUCCUGCCGGGGUCGGCUUUGUGGCAGGCGCCCUGCAGCCGAGGGGGUCCUGCAAACCCAGGCUGAGGAGGGCAACCAAGGAGCUCCUUCUCUCCCCGCCGCUGGAAGCUGGUGCUCCCAAGGAAGCCGCCUCCAGGAGGACUGCCUUGCCUUUCCCCUUCUCCAGUCGGAGGAUUCCCAGGAGCCGAAACUGGGGCAGGGGUGGCUGCCCAACCCCAGAAAGUGGGCCUUUCCUGCCCGUGCUCCCUCUUAACCAUGCUUGGGAUGGAUCAAAGUCACAAAUACUAUUCUGAAAGGAAAUGUUUGGGGAGAAUGUUUCAUUGUUACUGAGGGAGUCCAGAGUCAGCAUGGGUUUUUUCUCUUGAGAGGACAGGUUUGGGGGAACUUCGGUACGUGGAGAACAGAAUACAGAAGACUGAAAGGGUGACUAACAUAUUUGAAAUGUACCUUCCUUGAAAAAAAAAAAACCUUCCUUGUUCUAACGGGAGGAAAGGCUGAAGAGGAGUGGAAACCCCAAACCCACAUACAUUCAUUCACUAUAAAUUUCAUCUGAUUCCAACAUUGUACACAUGGUUGGAGUAAAAUUUAUACAGCAUUGCUUAUAAUUUAUACAGCAAAGCUUCCUGGACAAGCUCUCGAUUUCUCCUACCCAAGACUGCAUCAAUUCUUGGUCUCCGUUUGGCUUUUUCUCUCUACAAGCCCAGGGUUGACGUGAAACCUAAUAGUAAACAACAAUUUAACGACCUCAGCAGCCUCAGGGAAGUAGGGUGAUGAGGAACAGGACCCCUGGCCUGGGAUGAGGCUCAGAUUUGCAUGUGUCUCUCUAGGGAAGGACUUGAAGGUUCUCAUAAGCAACUACACAGCCAGUUGGAAAGGGGAGGAGGUGUCGUUGGGGUAAAGUGUCCCGUCCACCAUCAGCCAUUUGUCCACCGCCCCUCCCACCUGCCAGCCCCCACACCCACUCUAGACGUGCAGCAGAAUGAGGAAGGUUAUAAAAGGAAGCUCUCUCUCUCUUCUAACAUUCCCCUCCAGAAAAAGAGGAACGCAACGAAGGGAGUUCAGCUACUAUGUUGGAGCUGUGGACCGGCCCUGUGAGGCCCACGCGGGAGCGCGGAGGCUCCUGGGUCUCAGGGCGCCGGCAGAUGGCCUGCAGCGCACCGCCCGGCCCCCGCGCUGGCCACGUCCGCCAGCGUCAUCUCUCUCCCCCGCCUCCUACCCCUAAAAAUCCGGCGGUCGAGUAGCUCCGCAUCCCGGAGGGCUCCCGGUGCAAAACUGAGUGGGAAAGAGAAAGGGGCGGAGAGCGACGAGAGAGGGAAGGUGGGGAAGAAGAGCCCGGCCGCCCCCGGCCUUUUCCGGCGAGCUCUGAGUUUCCAGGGCUCAUCCGCCCCUCCAAGUCGAAUUACAGAAACUCCUCAUUGCCAUGCUAAUGACGAGAGGGGCUGUGGGGAGAGGGUUUCGAAGACCCUCCUGGAAGAAGGGAAGUUUCUUUUCUUGCCCUCGUCUCCUUCACGCCCACCCGAGUUCCUCCCAGCCAGCCCUCUGCGCUCUUCCCCCUCCAUUCCGAGCUUGAAGAGCCGGUGGCCCAGCCUCGCCCUCCACCACGGUUCUAUGCGCUCCUCACAGCCCCACGGUCUCCCAGCCCAGCCUCAGAACAGAGGAGGUGGCCUGGGAACCCGGGGCGCGGUGUCAGCCGGAUUCCCCGCCUUCCGGCUGGGCGCGCUGCGGGCUGGGCCGGCGUACUUGCGGCCACCCGGCGAGCUCUGGCCCACUGAUUCCCGCCCCGAGAGAGCCGGGAGCCCUCUUCCCUUCUCACCUCUCGCCAGUUCAUCUUUCAUUGAACGGUGGGGAGGGGGCGGGAGCGGGGGACGCCUCCCAGCCCCCACCUCCCGGAGGCCUGGCGGGGC